CUGGGACCAGAACUCACAACUCACAGCUCUAAACUGAAAACCAAAACCGAUGGCAACCCAAUUCCAUCGAUUUGAUUUGCCCCAACCUCGAGCUUUAUAAUGGCUGGGGCCUUUGAUUGAUUCGACUAUGGAAAAUCUCUGGCCAAGAUCGCCGGGCCACGUCCAAUUGUGAUGACAAAUCAAUUGUCAGCGCCCGCGGUCGCUACGUGGGAUCGGAUCAGUUCAAAUCAAAUCGUUUGCAUGGAUUUGAAUCGGCCACUAAUGCGAGGAAUACAGCAAAAAUAUAGAGGAUUUGGCACAGGUGGCAAAAACAAAAUCCCCUAAUUUUCCCCCAGUGCAUUGUAGCAUCGAAGCCAGCGACUUGAGCGAGUAUCAAGUGUGUAAUUAAUGUUUUAUUAAUACAAGCGACAAGCGAUCGCUGCCAGCUUCGACUUGGACUCCAUUGGCCCUCCGCUGGGAGACAGCAAGGGGCCUCCACCGUAAUCCUCCCGAUGUCUCCCCAAGCCAUAAUCCUCCCCAGGCCGCCGCUCCCCACCUGUUUUCAGCCCGGCCAAGAUGAACAGCAGUCGAAUUGCAAUCGAUGCGGUGAGGCAAGCGGCAACCAGCAACCGACCAAGAGAUUCAUAUGCACAAUGCCAUAAAAUAUGUGCACCGGGCGACUCGGAUUCGGACUGGAACUCCUCCUCCUCGUUUGCAUGCCAAACCGACAACACUCUGGACUUGGUCUGAGCUGAACUGAACCGAACCGAACUGAACUGAACUGGGAUAGCGGCUCAGUUUCCUGCGCUUAAAUGAAUUACCAGAUUAAUGGACGGCAUAAAUCACAUUAUCGCUUCGCUUGUGGACCAACUGGCUGCGGUCGCAUUUAGAAGCUGCUCAUCAUGCGGCCGGGCGGCCUUUGUGGGCGGCCCACUAACUCUGUCCGUUUGUCCACUUGUCCGUUUGUCCGUGUCCGUGUCCGUUUGUGUCCGUGCUUGUGUCCGCGGACGGUUAAUGAUGCUGCCAAGUACGUUGGGAGCAAGGAGAAUUUAUUGAACCAUUGCCUAAAAGUCCAUUCAGCCGACACCAGCCAAAAGCCACAACCUGAAUUGCACAGGAAAAAAUUAUUAAUCUAUUCGGGGGUACGAAAAUUAAAAUUAAACUAA